rnacentral:rRNA from 1 species
CAAUGGGCGGAAGCCUGAUGCAGCGACGCCGCGUGAGGGAUGACGGCCUUCGGGUUGUAAACCUCUUUCAGCAGGGAAGAAGCGUGAGUGACGGUACCUGCAGAAGAAGCACCGGCUAACUACGUGCCAGCAGCCGCGGUAAUACGUAGGGUGCGAGCGUUGUCCGGAAUUAUUGGGCGUAAAGAGCUCGUAGGCGGCUUGUCGCGUCGGAUGUGAAAGCCCGGGGCUUAACCCCGGGUCUGCAUUCGAUACGGGCAGGCUAGAGUUCGGUAGGGGAGAUCGGAAUUCCUGGUGUAGCGGUGAAAUGCGCAGAUAUCAGGAGGAACACCGGUGGCGAAGGCGGAUCUCUGGGCCGAUACUGACGCUGAGGAGCGAAAGCGUGGGGAGCGAACAGGAUUAGAUACCCUGGUAGUCCACGCCGUAAACGUUGGGAACUAGGUGUGGGCGACAUUCCACGUCGUCCGUGCCGCAGCUAACGCA